ACGAACGCUGGCGGCGUGCUUAACACAUGCAAGUCGAACGAUGAAGCCUUCGGGUGGAUUAGUGGCGAACGGGUGAGUAACACGUGGGCAAUCUGCCCUUCACUCUGGGACAAGCCCUGGAAACGGGGUCUAAUACCGGAUAACACUUACCUCCUCCUGGGGGUUGGUUAAAAGCUCCGGCGGUGAAGGAUGAGCCCGCGGCCUAUCAGCUUGUUGGUGGGGUAAUGGCCUACCAAGGCGACGACGGGUAGCCG
rnacentral:rRNA from 1 species